rnacentral:rRNA from 1 species
GUCCUUUUGAGUUUAAUUUAAGGUCUGGCCUGCCCACUGGAAUUUUUUUGAAGGGCCGCAGUAAUUUGACUGUGCAAAGGUAGCAUAAUCAUUAGUUUUUUAAUUGAAAGCUUGUAUGAAGGGUUGGACGAGGUAAAUUCUGUCUCUAUUUAAUUUUAUAUAGAAUUUAAUUUUUAAGUUAAAAAGCUUAAAUUUUUUUAAAAGACGAGAAGACCCUAUAGAUCUUUAUAUUAAAAGUAUUAAUUUUAAUUAAGAAUAUUUAAUUUUUUAGUAUUUAUAAUAUUUUAUUGGGGUAAUAAAAAGAUUAAAAUAAUUCUUUUUUUAUUUUAACAUUUAUUUAUGAUUAUAUGAUCCAAUUUUAUUGAUUAAAAGAUUAAGUUACCUUAGGGAUAACAGCGUAAUUUUUUUAGAGAGUUCAUAUCGAUAAAAAAGUUUGCGACCUCGAUGUUGGAUUAAAAAUUAUCUUAGGGGCAGAAGUUUAAGAUUUUGGUCUGGUCGACCAUUAAAUUUUU